CGGACGGGUGAGUAACGCGUGAGAAACCUGCCCAGAAGCGGGGGAUAACACUCCCAACGGGGUGCUAAUACCGCAUGUGAUGAGCGGUUCGCAUGGACCGCUUCUCAAAGAUGGCCUCUGCUUGCAAGCUAUCGCUCCUGGAUGGUCUCGCGUCCGAUUAGCUAGUUGGCGGGGUAAUGGCCCACCAAGGCGACGAUCGGUAGCUGGUCUGAGAGGAUGGUCAGCCACACUGGGACUGAGAUACGGCCCAGACUCCUACGGGAGGCAGCAGUCGAGAGGCUUCGGCAAUGGGGGAAACCCUGACCGAGCGACGCCGCGUGGGGGAUGAAGGCCCUUGGGUUGUAAACCCCUUUCGACCGGGAAGAAUGAUCUCCGGGUGAACAAUCCGGAGACUUGACGGUACCGGUGGAAGAAGCUCCGGCUAACUCCGUGCCAGCAGCCGCGGUAACACGGGGGGAGCGAACGUUGUUCGGAAUCACUGGGCGUAAAGGGCGUGUAGGCGGUUCGGUAAGUGGGAUGUGAAAGCCCCCGGCUCACCCGGGGAACUGCAUCCCAAACUGCCGGACUUGAGUGCGGGAGAGGAUGGGGGAAUUCCUGGUGUAGCGGUGAAAUGCGUAGAUAUCAGGAGGAACACCGGUGGCGAAGGCGCCCAUCUGGCCCGUUACUGACGCUGAGGCGCGAAAGCUAGGGGAGCGAAUGGGAUUAGAUACCCCAGUAGUC
rnacentral:rRNA from 1 species